GAAAAGUAUUUGUUUUUAGUGAAAAUAUAUUGAUAUAGGAGUUGUUUUUUAGUGGAAUGUAUGUAUAAUUUGAUGGAUUGGAUAAGAAUGCUCUUACCAUUAUCACUUUUGAUCUUAAUCAUACAAAAUAGUACCGAUCUGUGGAUUAGACAGGAGCUGCGACGACCAAUAGUGCUUGCUGAUGUGAUUAGAACAGAAGGUACACUCAGGGGCGGAUCUAGGUAAAGAACUAUGGGUUCGCACAAACCCACUCGGUUUCAACUUUUUAGUAGAAAAGAUAAUAGAAAAAUUAGGAUGAACCCAUUAACGAAAUUGUAGGGAUGACACAGUGGUUAAGGAAUGCGCCUUCCAUACAUCAGGUCACCGGUUUAUUAUGUUUUCGUAUUUUAUUAUGUUUCUCGACCCGAUCUGACCCGAUCCAACCCGAAAGAUCUAACUUUUAGUUGUGAGAAAUCUGACCACCUAAAAAAAUUAAACCCAUAGGAAAAAAUUUCUGGAUCCGUCGUUGGGUGCACGACCAUUGGCGCCGAUGCAGUUUGGGUUGGUUCACAGCUGCAGCCGCUUAACUAAAUGGUUCAGUUUUAUAUUACUGGGACAACUUUUUUGUUUUCAAAUUUUUCAAAAAUGAUAUAAAAAACCUAAAGCUAAAUGCUUUAGAGUUUUGAACUUUCAACUGAACUCUUACAUCCAGCUUAGCUUUGAAUCAUCUAAAUCUUAAAUAGUGAAUUGAUUCACAUAUGUAUCUUAAACCAUCUUAGCUGACCUUCCCAUGACUUCAAUUGUUUAAUACAUAUUAGAGUUAUGACCCACCCAUCUUGACAUUCAUUUUGUUAGUGAAUGCUCAUGUGGGUUUUGUGGUAUCACUUACCAGCAGAGAUUGAUGGCCUGAAUGAUUCUUCCCAAGUAUGCCACUUUAUAAUACCGAUUUCUCAUUUGUUUAUAUAGUUUUUAUGUUGUGUUUUAUUACAGAGUAAAAUGCCAUUUUCGUCCUUGAGGUUUGUCAAGUUUUGCUACUUUCGUCCAAAGGUUUGUUUUUCCGCAUCUUGAUCCAAAAGGUUUGAAAUCUUGCCAUUUUCAUUCAGAUCGUUAACUCGAUCCAUUUUUCCUCCGUUAAGUUAGGGGUAUUUCCAUCUUUUUUUGUUAACUUUAAGGGCAAUUCGGUCAUUUUAAUUUUAUGUACAAGCAUUUAGCAUAAUGUACAAGUAUUCAAAAGACCAAAUUGCCCUUUAAGUUAAGAAAAAAGACGAAAAUACCCCUUACUUAAUGGAGAAAAAUGGAUGGAGUUAACAAGCCGGAUGAAAUUGACAAAAUUUCAACCAUUUGGAUCCAGAUGCAGAAAAUAAACCUUUGAACGAAAACCGCAAAACUGGCCAAACCUCAGGGACGAAAAUGGCAUUUUAUGCUUUAUUAAUUUUCAACCUCUUUUUUUAGGAUUUGUUUAUAAUAGAAGCAAGCAACAGACCAGAUCUUGUAGAUGCAGCACUUCUAAGGCUUGGUCGGUUUGAUAAGCUACUUUAACUGAAUCAACGCUUGGUUCCAUGCUGCAAAGCGCAAGCCGCCGAUGCAGAUCCAACUAACAUGAAGGAUGACGUUGAUUAUGUGGUUGUUGAAUAUGAAGAUUUUGUGCAGAAAUUAAGGUUCCAACUGCCAUAUUAGAAGGCGAGCUUUACCAGUUAUACCCACAAGAAGAAGUCAAACAUGGGAAUAUAUUAUUAGAAAAUCAAGAAGUAAGUUCCAUGAUUUAUAGGACUAGAUAGGAAGGGUUAUAUUUUUCUCUGUUUAGGGUUAGGGGUUUAAAGUUCAAUGAAUAAAAUAGUUUUUGACAAAAGCUAGAUUGAGAGCUUUGUGAAGAUAUUCAAAGGUGUUGGUCAUGGAUGGGCUUAUAGAUAUAGCGAGGAUAAUGAAUCUGUUGAGAGGAGUGCUGAGGUGGCCAAGCAUGUGAUUUUUUAAGCGGGUCGAGUGGUUAUUUUUCUAAUCUCACUUAUGAAGGUGUAACAUGAUAUACUUGAAGCCAAGAACCUUACACUAGCAUUCAUCAUUGUAAAGCAUUGUGCUUUGGAGUAGAAUGUCGAGUUAGCUUCUGAAGUUGGAGACUUUACUUGAUGAUAGCGUGGGGCAAAAUGUCGAGUUGGAAUUUGAAAGGAGUGGCACGUCUUUGACCGUUCAGUUGGUGGCUGAAGACUUACACUCAAUAACUCUUUCGGAGUUAGGAUUGACACGUCUUUGUGAUGUACAUUUUAGAGGUGAGAUUUUUAACCUGUAUACCUACAAAAGUGUUGACUUAAGUUAUGUUGUAUGUCUAAUUAGUUUAACGGUUUUAGGUAAAAGCUUUAACUGAAUAGGAAACCACUUGAAAGUCUCUAUAAGAGUACACCUAGCUGAGUAGCCGUAGAAUAAUCAUUUUUGUUACUUGAAUGAUUUGAUAAACUUAUCACUAUUUUUUUUAUUGCAAACAAAGUUCAUCAGAUAUUAACGGUACGUUGUCAAUUCAUAGGCAAGUGCGGAGCCGCCAGUGAAGGCUGCUGACCAUACGGGACAGAACUAUAUCAGCCUUAGGAGGACAUGCUAAAGAAUGCAAAUAAUCAAGGAACAACCAUCCUCCAUACUCUGAAGGUAGAUUAUACUUUGGGAGAUUUCGAGGUAGUUUUAUGGAGCUACACAUAUUGGUGGUUGUUUAGGAGAGUUAACGGGCUCUCAUAUUCAUCGCUUUUCAUGGAGAAGGUAUCUAUCCGGCAACCCUUAGACGUGAAGCCCGACUUUGGAAAGGUAUUGCUGGGUUUGGUGGUAAGUGCAGGUUAUUGGACUUGGGUUUGACUUGGAUGAUGGCUAGAAGCUUGAAGUUUGUUGCUGAUGCGUAUGAAAGCCAACAGAGUUUUGAAGAUUGAUGUUUUUUGUUUGAACUGUAUUUUGUCUUGAUUUUGGUUGUUUUCGUUUGUUUUUUGUUUGGAUUUUGAAUAGGUUUUAUGUUUGUAAUACUUGGGUUGUGUGUGGUCGUGAGUAGAGUUAGAAGUAAUAAUUGUUAUUGGUUAGAGCGGUUGGGGUAGGGGUUUGUUAAAACCCGUUCUGUAAGGCCUUAGGCGUUUUUGAGGUUGGUGUUCUUGGGGUAUGUCUCGAAAGACCCAAUGCUCUUUAGGUGUAACUAUUAUUUUUUUAAUUUUAUUAAAUAAAGUUUUGACGG